rnacentral:rRNA from 1 species
AUUGAACGCUGGCGGCAGGCCUAACACAUGCAAGUCGAACGGUAACAGGAAGAAGCUUGCUUCUUUGCUGACGAGUGGCGGACGGGUGAGUAAUGUCUGGGAAACUGCCUGAUGGAGGGGGAUAACUACUGAAAACGGUAGCUAAUACCGCAUAACGUCGCAAGACCAAAGAGGGGGACCUUCGGGCCUCUUGCCAUCGGAUGUGCCCAGAUGGGAUUAGCUAGUAGGUGGGGUAACGGCUCACCUAGGCGACGAUCCCUAGCUGGUCUGAGAGGAUGACCAGCCACACUGGAACUGAGACACGGUCCAGACUCCUACGGGAGGCAGCAGUGGGGAAUAUUGCACAAUGGGCGCAAGCCUGAUGCAGCCAUGCCGCGUGUAUGAAGAAGGCCUUCGGGUUGUAAAGUACUUUCAGCGGGGAGGAAGGGAGUAAAGUUAAUACCUUUACUCAUUGACGUUACCCGCAGAAGAAGCACCGGCUAACUCCGUG